rnacentral:rRNA from 1 species
AUUGAACGCUGGCGGCAGGCCUAACACAUGCAAGUCGAGCGAGCGGCGGACGGGUGAGUAAUGUAUGGGGACUGCACGAUAGAGGGGGAUAACUACUGGAAACGGUGGCUAAUACCGCAUACUAUCGGAUAACCCAUAUGGGAUUAGCUAGUAGGUGGGGUAAAGGCUCACCUAGGCGACGAUCUCUAGCUGGUCUGAGAGGAUGAUCAGCCCAACUGGGACUGGGACACUGCCCAGACUCCUCCGGUGGAGGCAGUGGGGAAUAUUGCACCAUGGGCGCAAGCCUGAUGCAGCCCUGCCGCGUGUAGGAAGAAGGCCUUAGGGUUGUAAAGUACUUUCAGCGGGGAGACGUUACCCGCAGAAGAAGCACCGGCUAACUCCGUGCCAGCCGCCGCGGUAAUAC